rnacentral:rRNA from 1 species
UACAGAGGGGGCAAGCGUUGUUCGGAAUUACUGGGCGUAAAGGGCGCGUAGGCGGCCCGCUAAGUCGAACGUGAAAUCCCCGAGCUCAACUCGGGAACUGCAUUCGAGACUGCAUUGCUAGAGUAUGGGAGAGGGAAGUGGAAUUUCCGGUGUAGCGGUGAAAUGCGUAGAUAUCGGAAGGAACAUCAGUGGCGAAAGCGACUUCCUGGACCAAUACUGACGCUGAGGAGCGAAAGCAUGGGGAGCGAACAGG